AGGACGAACGCUGGCGGCGUGCUUAACACAUGCAAGUCGAGCGGUGAUCCUCCUUCGGGAGGUGAUCAGCGGCGAACGGGUGAGUAACACGUGGGCAACCUGCCCCUCACACUGGGAUAACCUCGGGAAACCGGGGCUAAUACCGGAUACGACCUCUGAGGGCAUCCUCUAAGGUGUAAAGGAUUCUGGCUAGGGAUGGGCCCGCGGCCUAUCAGCUUGUUGGUGGGGUAAUGGCCUACCAAGGCGACGACGGGUA
rnacentral:rRNA from 1 species